GCCUGUUCUCGGGCUGUUUGGCGGGCGUGGAGGACUGGCCAGCCCCCAAACCUCCAAGCCCAUCGGCUGGAUGCCGUGGAUAAGCGAGGGGAGAGCGACUAGGCCCUGUCUGCGGGUACCUUCGGCGAGGAGAGGCGACGAAGGUCUGCACCAGCGAGGCACGGACAGGCAGCAGGGGCAUACAGAAACUGCUGUAAAAGAAGAAGUUGUGGGUAUUU
rnacentral:lncRNA from 1 species